rnacentral:rRNA from 1 species
CCUAACACGUACGCAAGUCGCACGGUCUUGUUCAGGCCUGUGAGGCGCAAUGAAGAUAAACUGCUAUGAAGCUGCCUCUUGACGGGGGCAGCCACAGUAGCGGCCUGCCUACUUUCUCUAUUCGGGGAUAUGGUGGAGCUGGAGCGUAUGCGUUGGU